rnacentral:rRNA from 1 species
UACGUAGGAGGCAAGCGUUGUCCGGAAUUACUGGGUGUAAAGCGCGUGUAGCCGGCAGGCCAAGUCUGUGGUGAAAUCGCUCGGCUCAACUGGGCGGGGUCCAUGGAAACUGGUCAGCUGGAGGACGGUAGAGGUGAGUGGAAUUCCCGGUGUAGUGGUGAAAUGCGUAGAGAUCGGGAGGAACACCCGUGGCGAAGGCGGCUCACUGGGCCGGUCCUGACGCUGAGACGCGAAGGCGUGGGGAGCGAACGGG